rnacentral:tRNA from 1 species
ACCUGGCUGGCUCAGUCAGUAGAGCAUGGGACUCUUGAUCUCAGGGUGGUGAGUUCAAACCCCACACUGGGCA